GUAGUCCGGAUUGGAGUCUGCAACUCGACUCCAUGAAGUCGGAAUCGCUAGUAAUCGUGGAUCAGAAUGCCACGGUGAAUACGUUCCCGGGCCUUGUACACACCGCCCGUCACACCAUGGGAGUGGGCUGCAAAAGAAGUGGGUAGUUUAACCUUUCGAGGAGGACGCUCACCACUUUGUGGUUCAUGACUGGGGUGAAGUCGUAACAAGGUAGCCCUAGGGGAACCUGGGGCUGGAUCACCUCCUUA
rnacentral:rRNA from 1 species